rnacentral:rRNA from 1 species
GAUGAACGCUAGCUACAGGCUUAACACAUGCAAGUCGAGGGGCAGCGCAGUGUAGCAAUACAUGGGCGGCGACCGGCGCACGGGUGCGUAACGCGUAUCCAACCUUCCCGUUACUCAGGGAUAGCCUUCCGAAAGGGAGAUUAAUACCUGAUGGUGUUCAAAUUCCGCAUGUUAUUUGAACUAAAGAUUUAUCGGUAACGGAUGGGGAUGCGUGACAUUAGGUAGAUGGCGGGGUAACGGCCCACCAUGCCCACGAUGUCUAGGGGUUCUGAGAGGAAGGUCCCCCCACACUGGAACUGAGACACGGUCCAGACUCCUACGGGAGGCAGCAGUGAGGAAUAUUGGUCAAUGGUCGGAAGACUGAACCAGCCAAGUAGCGUGAAGGAUGAAGGUUCUAUGGAUUGUAAACUUCUUUUUGUAAGGGAGCAAUAAGUCUCACGUGUGGGAUGAUGAGAGUACCUUACGAAUAAGCAUCGGCUAACUCCGUGCCAGCAGCCG